rnacentral:rRNA from 1 species
UACAGAGGGUGCGAGCGUUGUUCGGAAUUAUUGGGCGUAAAGGGUGCGUAGGCGGUGCCACAAGUCACUUGUGAAAUCCCCAGGCUUAACCUGGGGCCUGCAGGCGAAACUGUGGUGCUGGAGUAUGGGAGAGGUGCGUGGAAUUCCCGGUGUAGCGGUGAAAUGCGUAGAUAUCGGAAGGAACACCAGUGGCGAAAGCGACUUCCUGGUCGAAUACUGACGUUCAUGUGCGAAAGCGUGGGGAGCAAACAG